UACGGAGGGGGCUAGCGUUGUUCGGAAUCACUGGGCGUAAAGCGCACGUAGGCGGCUUCUUAAGUCAGGGGUGAAAGCCUGGAGCUCAACUCCAGAACUGCCUUUGAUACUGAGGAGCUUGAGUCCGGGAGAGGUGAGUGGAACUGCGAGUGUAGAGGUGAAAUUCGUAGAUAUUCGCAAGAACACCAGUGGCGAAGGCGGCUCACUGGCCCGGUACUGACGCUGAGGUGCGAAAGCGUGGGGAGCAAACAGG
rnacentral:rRNA from 1 species